ensembl:lncRNA
GCCUCUUUUCUACGUCUCUGGCUGACUCCUGAAUCUCCGCCCACUCUCUGCUUGAUCCCUGCCAAGUGAAAGAGAUCUUUGGUUUUGCCUUUGCUGACUGCUGAUCUGAUCGUCUCAAGUCUGGUAAGUAAAGGUUUGUCUGAGGUGCAGUGCUGGGAAAUGUUUCUUAUUAUAGGAGAUUCAGUUUAGUGCAGUGAGUCAGCACAGCUCUUGGCAAUCAUCAAAUAAUAGAAAAGUCUAUGUAAACAUUUCCAGACUUACAGAUCUCUGUUAUCAUCAUACUACAUUUUUAAUUAGGCCCUAAUAUCGGCCAUACUAAGUUUAUUGUAGAUUUAGCGGGGUGUGUAUUAAACAUGCCCCAUAUUUGACUGAAAUAUGUAGAAACUGCUGUAUAGGAGUCAUCUGUCUCCAAAUUUUUCAUUUUGCCAAAAGUCAUACUGAGUAAAUUAUUUUUUACUUUUGUGUUAACGGCUCCCCAGACAUUAUGAUAUACUGUUGUACCAGGUAAGUACACACAGAAACGGGAAUUUGAGACCUUUGGGCAUUUAGAAACAUGUGAUGUGUCAUAAGUUUGAGUUGAGUGCAUGUGAAGUGUUUAAAGCAGGUGGUCUGAAACUGUCUGCUCUAACUUCAUUGUGUGGGUUUAGCUUGACCAUAUAAUGUUUACAGUAAGUUACUGUAGCACCACAUCUUGGUUUACAGACUCUGUUUGUUUUUAUUGUGUUAAUAGAAUGCAAAAAUGUCCUCAGAAAUGUUCAACCACCAUAUGUUAAACAUUUUCAUUCAGUUGAAUCUAAUAAUGUACUGUACAACUCUUCAGUGUGUAAUGAUAUAUAUGUUCUGUAUUUUUCGGACUGUAAGGCGCACUAAAUUCUAAGGCACAUUAAGUCAAACAAAACAGAUAAGCCAAACUUUAUUCAACUCAUUUACAAUAACUCUCAAAAUUGUUCAGUUGUAAGACAUAAAAUACAGAAUACACUCACUUUUCAGGAUUUGUGGAUUGAUGAAUGUGGAUUGAUCAGUUUGAAAUCUGCUUCAUAAGCAUGGCUCUCAACAGGUGCCAGGCCCUUAUACACACACCAUAUUACGUUGGAGCACAGUACGAAUUACUCUACGAGGGUGGUGACUAUGGUAGCCAUGCUCCGACAAUACAUCAAGUGGUGCUGCUUUGUAGCUUACCAAAGUCAUACUAAAACAUUUGACAGAUUUUUGAGUGCCGUGUACCACAUAGAAUUGGUUUGAAGUCAGUAAGCCUCAACCAUAUAUAAGGUGCACUGUCUAUUUUUGAGAAAAUUAAAGGCUUUUAAAUGUGCCUUAUAGUCUGAAAAAUAAGGUAAAGCCAGGUUUAUUGCAAGUGUGUCUAAUUCCACUUUCUUUCUGUCUUACAGGUGACCUGCUGCAGAAAACCCUCUCCCUCUAUCAUUAACAAGCAAUUCAGUCUGUCCUAUCACUCUCC